GAUGAACGCUAGCGGCAGGCUUAAUACAUGCAAGUCGUGGGGCAGCAUGACUGUGGCAAUACAGUUGAUGGCGACCGGCAAACGGGUGCGGAACACGUACACAACCUUCCUUUAAGUGGGGAAUAGCCCCGAGAAAUUUGGAUUAAUACCCCGUAACAUAGUGAAAAGGCAUCUUUUUAUUAUUAUAGCAGCAAUGCGCUUAAUGACGGAUGUGCGGGUGAUUAGAUAGUUGGCGGGGUAACGGCCCACCAAGUCUGCGAUCAGUAACUGGUGUGAGAGAACGACCAGUCACACGGGCACUGAGACACGGGCCCGACUCCUACGGGAGGCAGCAGUAAGGAAUAUUGGUCAAUGGACGCAAGUCUGAACCAGCCAUGCCGCGUGGAGGAUGAAGGUCCUCUGGAUUGUAAACUUCUUUUAUAUGGGACGAAAAAAGGUCUUUCUAGAUCAACUGACGGUACCAUAUGAAUAAGCACCGGCUAACUCCGUGCCAGCAGCCGCGGUAACAC
rnacentral:rRNA from 1 species